UCUCUGUUUAUCAAGCUCCUCUUAUAUGGAGCUCACUCGCUUCAUGGCUUAAACCUCCUUAUCUUUAUGUUAUUCUCAACUGCAUCAUCAUCACUAUUGCUGCCUCCUCUCGAUUCCACCAUACCCAUGGUGCCGACAAUGAACAGCAGGAGCAAAUACCUGCUGUUCGGAAAAUCUCAGCUCGUGACCCGGAUCAGUUCCACUACGAUAUGAAGAUUUCGGCUCCGGAGUCGACGGUGGUGGUGGCGGAGGAUGUAUGUGAGCAAAGAGAGGAGAAGGCUAGUGCAAUUCUUGUUUUUGAGGAUAAGAGUACUGUGUUGGUGAACGGUUCUGUGGAGGUUGAGGAUAAAGAGGAUGAGGAUGNNNNNNNNNNNGUGGAUUCCUCCGAAGAGGAUGGAUUCGUCGGAGAAUCUGAUGGAGCUUCUUCUACCGACU
rnacentral:misc_RNA from 1 species